rnacentral:lncRNA from 1 species
AAUUUCUGCUUUUGCUUAUACCAAGGUUGCAUGUUUUAGAUUUUAAGUGUUAUUCAUCUGCCAAAGCAUAGCAGUAGCUUAGUUUCAAAUCUCACUUCUCCUGAAGAAAACAAUGAAAGCAACAAGGAUAACAACAAAAGUAAAAGAGCAACACACAAACUAUGUCUUCAGUGGAGCAGAUAAAACUAUAUAAUUGAAUUCCUUAUGCUGAACUCACACACCAAGAAUGGUAACCACAAAGUGGGAAGUUGGUGUGGCAGAGAAAGGGGAACGUUGAGAGUCCAGGGUUCUAGAAUUCAAAGCAGAUACUCAUUAUUUAGAAGGAGCAGUC